AUAUGUUGCUUGCUUGCUUCUAGGGUUCCAUCGGUUCUCUUGUCAUCGUUGGUGUGACUCCGUUUUUUUUUUAAUUUUCACGCCUCACAGGUUGUUUGCAAGGGGGACUCAUCGCACACACUUAGUUUCGUGAUGCAAGUCUUUCUUAUAAUUCAUCCCACUGGAUUGUAAAUACCCCCGUUUGAGCUUUCCGGUCUCCACAUGGCAGGGCUACUAUAACAAUGUGCAUACAUACGGUGUCCAUUAGAUAGUCUGUCCCAUGAGUGCCAGAGCUUGUUGGAGCUCAUUGGAGCUCGUUGGAGCUCAUUGCCAUCUAUGCUCUGCCAUUGCCAUCUAUGCUCUGCCUCCUCACCACGAUAUUUACUCUAUAGAGGAUCUUGCUCA